rnacentral:lncRNA from 1 species
AUGCCGGAGUGAUGGCUGAGGAGGGAGCUCAGCAGACAGAAGAGGACACAUUUUCCACGCAUAAAACCGCUUUGGCCACCAAGCCAGUCGUCAAGCUAGAAUGAACAAAGAACUGCCAUCUGCUCUGCCCCUUAUAUAAGAAAAACACCACCAGAAAGAUGUCUCCAUUGCUAGGAGAUUCAACCUCUCCAGUAUUCUCAUUCGAAAGAUGUCUUGAAUCUAGAGUACUGUUUCUCAUGGAAUGCAUUCAACCAGGCUCUGGAGAUCUGGACGCUCAGGCUUGAGGCUUCUCACAAGCUCCUAAGCACCGAUGGUGCUUUGUUCUGUGGGAAGCAGGGAUCUGAAGCAUGGAACAACAGCUUCUAAAAUCACACACCAAGAGCUGUUUCUACAGCACUACUUUAAUAAGGAUUUUCCCUUGGCAGGGAAACCACCAGGAAACCGACAAAUCUAGUUUAAAGCCCAAAUCAAAUCAUUUGCUGGAGAGAAUCUCUUGUACUGAAUGGAAGCUUCACCCAUCAAUCAAAAGCUGAUUGGUCAAUGAGCUGAGGCAGGAAAUAGGAGGUUGGAGUUUCGACAGAGAGAGGAACUCUGGGAUAGAGUCACGUUGCAAGCAUUCAACCAGAACUCUGAGGAAGCCGGCCACGUGAAACUGAAGCUGUCUAUUCAUCUGUGAAAGAAGGGAAGAAAGUGACUACUCUUUAUCUGGGAGAAGAAAUGAAGUGCUGCUACUUACUCUUUGGGGAGUUUCCACGGAAGGACCAUUAGAAUGACAGUGUUGCAGAUGCAGGGAAACAUCUGUUUGCAGCUGCUGAUGGUUCAUGCCAAUAUUCAUAUCUGGUCCAAACGCUUCAGAAUCCGUGACUGUUAAGUGUUCAGCCUUAAAUGGGACAUCUUAUAUCCAUCUCUUUCAAGGCUCAGGAAACAUCUUGAAAGAAACUCUUGAGCUCGUUGGCAGGAUCCGUUGUCUACAGAGGCCCAUGGGUAAAGAGGAGCAUCAUGGUAGGCCUUGGUGCACAGAGAAAGCCUGCCGGAGUUGGGGAAUAACAAGAUGCAUAUGGAGGAAGGUUGGAGAUCUUUGUGAUCCACUGGGGAUGGAGGCAGAGAGGAGGGGCUGCUUUCCAGUGGUUUACUACAAAGUGGGGUGACACUGAGGGAUUGCAUUUGGAGGAGAGGUGGGUGGCAGUGGUGAAGAUCUGCAGUUAGGUUCCCUGCUUCCUUGGCUGGAAUGGCCUGCACAGCACAAGGCUUUCAUGGUCUGACCCCGUUCAGUUCUUAGGAUCUAGACUUAAGCAC